UACGUAGGGGGCAAGCGUUGUCCGGAUUUAUUGGGCGUAAAGAGCUCGUAGGCGGUUCGACAAGUCGGAUGUGAAAUCUCCACGCUCAACGUGGAGGGGCCAUUCGAAACUGUCGUGACUUGAGUCCGGUAGGGGAGUGUGGAAUUCCCGGUGUAGCGGUGAAAUGCGCAGAUAUCAGGAGGAACACCAGUGGCGAAGGCGGUGUUCUGGGCCAGUACUGACGCUGAGGCGCGAAAGCGUGGGGAGCGAACAGG
rnacentral:rRNA from 1 species